rnacentral:rRNA from 1 species
CCAAUAGCGUAUAUUAAAGUUGUUGCAGUUAAAAAGCUCGUAGUUGAAUUUCAGGCCUGGCUGGACGGUCCGCCCUUCGGGUGAGUACUGUCUGUGGUCGGGUCCUACCUUCUGGCGAAGCGUCAUGGCCUUAACCGGCCGUGGCGGGGAACCAGGACUUUUACUGUGAAAAAAUUAGAGUGUUCAAAGCAGGCAAUCGCUUGGAUACAUUAGCAUGGAAUAAUGGAAUAGGACAAUGGUUCUAUUUGUUGGUUUCUAGGACCGUUGUAAUGAUUAAGAGGGAUAGUUGGGGGCAUUAGUAUUCAAUUGUCAGAGGUGAAAUUCUUGGAUUUAUUGAAGACUAACUACUGCGAAGGCAUUUGCCAAGGAUGUUUUCAUUAAUCAAGAACGAAAGUUAGGGGAUCGAAGACGAUCAGAUACCGUCGUAGUCUUAACCAUAAACGAUGCCGACUAGGAAUCGGGCGAUGUUGAAAAAAUGACGCGCUCGGCACCUCAUG